rnacentral:tRNA from 1 species
AAGGGAGACCUAAUUCAGGUAGGAGACGAAAAAAAAGUAGUCGCUACCAAGAAUCAAUCCCAAAAGGUCGGAGCGAGGCGAAAUUGGCUUUCAAACUAGGUUCUGGGUUCACACAAGGCCUGAAUCAGGAACAAGGGCUAUUAGCUCAGGUGGUUAGAGCGCACCCCUGAUAAGGGUGAGGUCCCUGGUUCGAGUCCAGGAUGGCCCACCUGUACAGGUGGCAAAAAGAAAGAAAAGAAGCGAGGAAUCAGCACCUUAUCUUACUGACAUAGUAAGAGAGAAUGCUGGCUCUGAGUAAAGAGUCCAGAGGAACCUUGAAAACUGCAUAGGGCUAGGUGAAAAAGCCAAAAAAGAAGACCGCAA